GCCGGAUGUUUUAUUUUAUGUGUGUGCCCGACUUCCUUUCCAUCAGAGGUUGAUCUGUGCUGAAUUUAUCCGGCAUGCUCAGGUGUCCGGAAAAAAACAACUCUUGCAAUCAGCUGCGUCAUCCGGCGAUCCGCAGCGGAAUGGAAAGAAGCCAGUGAAAAUCGACACAUUCAGCUGCAAUCGGCGGAUAUGGUCUUUUCGUUGCCAUUCCGGAUGCGGUAGAAAUUGAAGGUUAGUUUUCUCUUGACAUGUUGUGUAGCAUCAGAAAAAUGACAUAUGAAGUUGUGACAGCAAGAAAAACAUGAUUUUGAUCAAAGUGGUUCUUUAAGGCUGAAAUGUGAUGCCAACACUGAAAUGUAAUAAACUGCAGUUCUUUAAGGGGCCACUUGACGAGCUCCAAAUGUGUGUAGAUCUGUAUUGGAUUCAAUUUAAAAAGAAAAAAGCUUCGUUUUAAGGCAACAUAAAACAUGUAAGGACCCUGAAGUUUGGGGCCAGGCAGGGAAAUUUGGGAUCUAGCACUUUUCUUUUUCCCAUGGUUGAAUUUUCAUCUCGCUCAAAUGUUCACGACUCAGUUUUGAUUGUAGCUGAGCAAAAUUUGAGUGAUAAAUUGGUGGCUGAAAUGGAAAACUUGAAAGUUAUGUUUGAUUUUAUUUAUUUUUUUGUUGCUGUUUGUCUUUUUGGAAAGAAAAGAGAAAAAAAAAGAGGUUCCGAUCAUAAAUGAAGUUUCUGGGUCAUACUGCCUGGUCCCCAUGGCAACUGCUAGAAAGCUUCACUUGAAAAAUUAAGAAACCGAUGAUGACAAAGAAGUUGCUACUCCUGUUACAUUAGCAGGUGCAGCUUGUACAGAAAAAAAAAAAAGUUUGCAACUGUGAUUAGGUGUUGGCCACAGUGCAGGUGAAUGGUAUUUUUAGCUCAACCUUUUGGUUUAUUUUCGUGGGUGUCAGAGGCCAAAUGGUCGCUGACAAACUGUCAUGCACAUUAAGAAACACAUACCGUUCAAGCAAAUGCAAAUAAAGUGAGCUCAUUCCUCACCUUCAGCUAUAUACGGCACAGAGAGUCUCUGGAGACGCCACUCUGUGGUAGUUGAGGCACAAUUAGAAAGAGAGCUCUAAUUAAAGCAGCAAAAGAAGCUACUUCACCCUACCUGUAUGUUAAAAUAGGUCAGUGGGGGCUUUCGGUUCUCAACAUCUAAAGGCUGUUCUCUCAUUUUAAUAAGAUGUGGAGAUUUUCAAUUAGUUGCUGCAUAAGUUUCCCUGUAUAUUUGCAUUAUAGGUUAUAUAAGUGUAGCUGAAAACAAAUUAAAGCAAUGCAGCAGAGACAAAGUAAUGACAUACAUUAGUCAAUGGGACACAGAGUACAGUCAGCACACACAUGCAUGUAUAUUCAUAUUUAACCCCUUAGAUCUGGACAUUAAUGUAUUCAAAUUGGAAUUUCACCACUGUCAGAGUAUGUGUAUGAGUUCAUUAGCUGCAUGAUAUGACUGUGAUUGAAUCUGACAUGCGUUAUCAAACAUAAUCUGUCUCUCUUUUGACCUCUCCUCCAUAUCCAUCUCUGUCAUUAGCUUCACGCUUGCUUGCCUGCUUCCUGUACUAUCAAAUGGAAGCAUCACAGCAGACACUCUCAUACUGUAGUGGUCAAGAGUGGGAAAAGUCCAACAGUGGCCCUUGUUUUGACACAUGAAGUGAUGUUUUAGAGAAAAGGGGUGAUGAGGGUGUGCACUUGCAAUCGUCGUGGAACAUAUUUCAACGUAUUUUCCUUCGAACAUCCGCAGCAGCAAUCCAGAGGAACCUACGCCAUGAUGGAGUCACAGGAAGUCCCAGAAAAAGACUGUAUUAGCGACUCUAAUGGGACAUGAUGAUUCAAAGUUCAUGACACGGACAGAAAGAGGACUUGGAAGGAGGGGAGGGUGCUCAACG
rnacentral:lncRNA from 1 species